rnacentral:rRNA from 1 species
UCGAACGGUGACGACGGAGCUUGCUCUGUCUGAUCAGUGGCGAACGGGUGAGUACACGUGAGUAACCUGCCCCCGACUCUGGAAUAACCGUGGGAAACGACGGCUAAUACCGGAUAUGAGACGCACGGGCAUCUGUGUGUCUGGAAAGAUUUAUCGGUCAGGGAUGGACUCGCGGCCUAUCAGCUUGUUGGUGGGGUAAUGGCCCACCAAGGCGACGACGGGUAGCCGGCCUGAGAGGGCGACCGGCCACACUGGGACUGAGAUACGGCCCAGACUCCUACGGGAGGCAGCAGUGGGGAAUAUUGCACAAUGGGCGCAAGCCUGAUGCAGCGACGCCGCGUGAGGGAUGAAGGCCUUCGGGUUGUAAACCUCUUUCAGCAGGGAAGAAGCGAAAGUGACGGUACCUGCAGAAGAAGCGCCGGCUAACUACGUGCCAGCAGCCGCGGUAAUACGUAGGGCGCAAGCGUUGUCCGGAAUUAUUGGGCGUAAAGAGCUCGUAGGCGGUUUGUCGCGUCUGCUGUGAAAACCUGAGGCUCAACCUCGGGCUUGCAGUGGGUACGGGCAGACUAGAGUGCGGUAGGGGUGACUGGAAUUCCUGGUGUAGCGGUGGAAUGCGCAGAUAUCAGGAGGAACACCGAUGGCGAAGGCAGGUCACUGGGCCGCAACUGACGCUGAGGAGCGAAAGCAUGGGGAGCGAACAGGAUUAGAUACCCUGGUAGUCCAUGCCGUAAACGUUGGGCACUAGGUGUGGGGCUCAUUCCACGAGUUCCGUGCCGCAGCAAACGCAUUAAGUGCCCCGCCUGG